GAUCAGUCAAGCAGGCAUCUGUGUGUUAUCAGGAGUACAGCGGUAGGCCCUCUUGGCUCCAGUUCCAACUCCAGUCUGCCUCAGCCCUGCGCAGUCAACCGUCAGCAGCGCCACUGGGUGCAGGGAUAUCCCGAUGAAAAGGGAGACUGUUCGGGGUGAAGAAUUCAGGCAAGAUUUAACUACACUCAUCCGUCAUGAAGUGAAGCGGUUGACUAAUUAACCAUCACUCUGAGACAAAAGACGUCUGUGCCUGCCAAGGCUGAGGGAACUCCAGGAAGUCUUCGCAUAUCAUGUGAUAAAAUGAGGAAACGUGAAACGCAGGCAGUUUGAUCCCCUCACACACCUUUUGUGAAGGUACUUGCUGUGUGAUAUGUUCAGCUUUUAAAGGAUUUGUGUUGACAGAGUGUCGUGUUAUUGGUGAGGAAGGUGUUGCCUGUGAAGCUGUGAUUAAGUUAGAUCGGAGGAGGAAGAAAGUAGGUCAUUGGGCCAGCAGGUCAGUGAAGCACAGAUGACAUCACAGUUAUACAACCCCUGCUUUCCCAGUUACACAAC
ensembl:lncRNA